rnacentral:rRNA from 1 species
CACGCCCUAAACGAUGCGAACUGGAUGUUGGGCUCAACUUGGAGCUCAGUAUCGAAGCUAACGCGUUAAGUUCGCCGCCUGGGGAGUACGGUCGCAAGACUGAAACUCAAAGGAAUUGACGGGGGCCCGCACAAGCGGUGGAGUAUGUGGUUUAAUUCGAUGCAACGCGAAGAACCUUACCUGGCCUUGACAUGUCUGGAAUCCUUUAGAGAUAGAGGAGUGCCUUCGGGAACCAGAACACAGGUGC